GUAGCUCUUGCAGCUUGGAUUAAGACUCUGAAGGGCUGGUUCUGGAUUCUACCCUGGGGCUCGUUAGAUGGGGGUCAGGUUGAGGUCAUUUCUGGAAAGUGCUUUGACAACACCACAUGGAAACAUGUGCGUGCACUGAGCCACCCACUUGUGCCCACAUGCCGAAGGGCAGGACUUCUGUUCUUCACAGAGACGUCUAUGAGCCAAACUAUGAGGAAACAAUGGGUUAAGCGGUGAUGAACCCAAGGAGUUUGUCUUUCCCUUAAAUUCUUUCCAUCCUGGAAAAAGAAGAAUUGAGAGGGGGAAAAAAUGUGUUUUCCCCCUUCCACAGAUGUUUAAAGAGACAAUUCCUAACCGAUGUAGCAGUUCAGCAUUUAGAUUAGAGGGGGAUCUCUGGAGACAGACUGAGUUAUGAUCCAUGUUCCCACGUGGCCAGGGGUGAAGGAGGGAGCCACCUCCAGCAACUUACAACUUCGAUGGGACAAGAAGGAUGGACCAGGUUUGAACGACAAUAGAAGCAGCUUGCAGCGUCUCUCUGGGUGGACGUCCAUACAGCCAGCUAAAAGUGGGCCACGCCAAAGCUCUGGAUCCCCUCACUCGUGUAAACCCAACAGGCGUAGGCGCCCUUGCUAAGGGUCUCCUACCAGAAUAAGCAAAAGACCUCCAGGAAACUAUAAGACUGUUUGUAGUCUUUGACACAAACAGAAGAUAAAUCAAAGUAAUGGCCAAAAGAUCAAAAUUUUUAUCCCAAGCUGAAAAACUCAGAGACACGUGUACAUGAAAAUCACCUUAUGAAAAAGAAAAGCAGAAUAUAAAAGGAGAGGGAAAGUGUGCACAAGCAGAGGGAGAAGGAGAAGCAGGUCUCCUCUGAGCAGGGAGCCCAAUGUGGACUUCGAUCCCAAGGACCCCGGGAUCAUGACCUGAGCCGAAGGCAGAUGCUUAACCGACUGAGCCACCCAGGCGCCCCAGAUUUCCACUUGGAAUCGUGUGAAUGUAUCGCAUAGUGAAAAAACAAUCCAUUAAACAAAGA